UUACAACUCUAUUAAUUACAAUGUUAAUCAAGCUGCAUCAUUUCAAAGAAAGAGUCACAGUAAUCCCAAACCUACUUCUUUUGGCUAUAAUCAUUGCUCCAUUUUAGAUUCUUCAGAAAGCGAUCAAGGACAUGCUAUGAGUCGUCAACCUCGUUCCAAAAAUGAUAUUAUAUCGCUUUAUGAUAUGAAAAAUGAUAUUACAUCGCUUUAUGAUAUGAGUCGUCAACCUCGUUCCAAAAAUGCUAUUAUAUCGCUUUAUGAUAUGAAAAAUGAUAUUACAUCGCUUUAUGAUAUGAGUCGUUACCCUUAGCACAGUUGAUAUGUGCAAUAUGCUUAAAAUUAAGUAGAUUAAAAAAAUAUCUAGCUGAUCAAGUGC
rnacentral:lncRNA from 1 species